CCUACGGGAGGCAGCAGUCGGGAAUUUUGGGCAAUGGGCGAAAGCCUGACCCAGCAACGCCGCGUGAAGGAUGAAGUUUUUCGGAAUGUAAACUUCGUAAGAAUGGGAAGAAACAAAUGACGGUACCAUUUGUAAGCCCCGGCUAACUACGUGCCAGCAGCCGCGGUAAUACGUAGGGGGCAAGCGUUGUUCGGAUUUACUGGGCGUAAAGGGCGCGUAGGCGGCGUGACAAGUCACUUGUGAAAUCUCCGGGCUUAACUCGGAACUGCCAAGUGAUACUGUCGUGCUAGAGUGCAGAAGGGGCAAUCGGAAUUCUCGGUGUAGCGGUGAAAUGCGUAGAUAUCGAGAGGAACACCUGAGGUGAAGACGGGUUGCUGGGCUGACACUGACGCUGAGGCGCGAAAGCUAGGGGAGCAAACGGGAUUAGAUACCCUUGUAGU
rnacentral:rRNA from 1 species